ACAGCAGUAGCCGCGGGAAUACGAAGGGGGCUAGCGUUGUUCGGAUUUACUGGGCGUAAAGCGCACGUAGGCGGAUCGAUCAGUCAGGGGUGAAAUCCUGGAGCCCAACUCCAGAACUGCCUUUGAUACUGUCGAUCUCGAGUCCGGAAGAGGUGAGUGGAACUCCUAGUGUAGAGGUGGAAUUCGUAGAUAUUAGGGAGAACACCAGUGGCGAAGGCGGCUCACUGGUCCGGUACUGACGCUGAGGUGCGAAAGCGUGGGGAGCAAACAGGAUUAGAUACCCCUGUAGUCCCUGUCUCUUAUAC
rnacentral:rRNA from 1 species